rnacentral:tRNA from 1 species
UGUAAUUUAGUUUAGAUAGAAUAUUUAUUUUUGGUGUAAAAGGGAUUAAUUACAA